CGUCUCUCUGUACCCGGAAUGGACUGUCUGUUCUUUCUCCGUCAUUUUUUUCCUCCAGCAAUGCCUUGUGCUGAAGUUCUGUUGCAGUCCAGAAGUUAAGGACUUGAAGGUGAGGCUCAGGCGUGUAUAUGGAGGCAAUAGAAGGAAGACGAAGGAGAAACAAUGGAGGAGGAUGAAGAAGAAAUGAGAAAUAGAAGCGGAAUAGGAGGUGGAGCCAAGGUGUGAUAUUUAGGUCGAUGUGGCUGCGAUGAGGACAGUGCAGAACGGGCGGAGUUCUUAAACUUUCACCCGCCAGCUGUUCAAGGUCCACGGCGCUGCUGGGUCUUGGUUAUGCUGAUGAUACUGCGAGUCUUCCAUGCGAGUAUUCGAAGUUUAGUGUCGUGGCUGAGCAAGGAGAAUGAAAAGAACAAGAAUGAAACCUGGCCAGACUGCAUCUCCUCACCUCGGACACUGCCCUGAGAGGAUGUGGUGACGGCUGCAGGAGUGGGAGUGACUGGUGUAGAGGACGAUGAUAAGAUGAAGACUUGUCACUUCCCUGUUGGAGUGAUGGGCGAAAUGAAGAAAGCCGCCUCG